rnacentral:rRNA from 1 species
CAAUAGCGUAUAUUAAAGUUGUUGCAGUUAAAAGCUCGUAGUUGGAUUUCUGGUACACUGCGCCUGGCCCGCCUCCGUUAGGAGUGUGAGUGCCGGUGCGCGGUUGCCAUCCUUCUAGAGAACUUGUCUACCCUUCACUGGGCGGGACAGGCAAUCUAGAUCCUUUACUUUGAAAAAAUUAGAGUGUUUAAAGCAGGCUUUUCGCAGUGAAUACAUUAGCAUGGAAUAAUAAUUUAGGACUUCGGUUCUAUUUUGUUGGUUAUGGGGCUGAAGUAAUGAUUGAUAGGGAUAGUUGGGGUGGCUAGUAUUGAGCGGCCAGAGGUGAAAUUCUUGGAUUUACGAAAGAACGAACAA